rnacentral:rRNA from 1 species
CGAAGGUGGCAAGCGUUACUCGGAAUUACUAGGCGUAAAGCGCAGGUAGGCGGUUCGAUAAGUCUUUUGUGAAAGCUCCCGGCUUAACUGGGAGAGGUCAAGAGAAACUGUCGGGCUAGAGUGUGGUAGAGGAUACUGGAAUUCCCGGUGUAGCGGUGAAAUGCGUAGAUAUCGGGAGGAAUACCUAUGGCGAAAGCAGGUAUCUGGGCCAUCACUGACGCUGAGCUGCGAAAGCUAGGGGAGCAAACAGGAUUAGAUACCCUGGUAGUCCUAGCCCUAAACGAUGCUCAUUAGAUGUGGGGGGUAUCGACCCCUUCCGCGUCGUAGCUAACGCAUUAAAUGAGCCGCCUGGGGAGUACGGCCGCAAGGUUG